rnacentral:rRNA from 1 species
UACGGGGGGAGCAAGCGUUGUUCGGAUUUAUUGGGCGUAAAGGGCGCGUAGGCGGCGCAACAAGUCACUUGUGAAAUCUCCGGGCUUAACCCGGAGCGGUCAAGUGAUACUGUCGUGCUAGAGUGCGGAAGGGGCUACUGGAAUUCUCGGUGUAGCGGUGAAAUGCGUAGAUAUCGAGAGGAACACCUGCGGCGAAGGCGGGUAGCUGGGCCGACACUGACGCUGAUGCGCGAAAGCCAGGGGAGCGAACGGG